ensembl:lncRNA
GUGUAAUGCAAGACCCCUUGUCAAGACUCAUCAUGGCCCAAAUCUACCAGGUCCCUUGAGCCACAGGCACCCGAGGGGCCACCCUGUCCUUGGGAUCCCGGGCAGCAGUGGGCCAGUCUGAAGGAUGGGUCAGCUGCAGGCUUCAACCAGAGCUCGGGGCUGGGCCAAGAGGAAGAGACCAAGAGCCCACAUGCCCUAGGCCUCAAGGGAUUCAGGUGCUGGCAGAGGUCUGCCUUCCUGCCCUGUCUCCCUCAGGAUUUGAACUCUUCCAAAUCGGAGAGAGAGAAAUCUGCAAUUAGAGAAGGAAGACCUGGCUUGUCCAGGUUAUUUAUGUGUCCGUGGAUCCGCCUUUGUUCUACAGAGCGGUAUGUGGGAUCUUAGCUGCCAGGAGGAUCAAACCUUGCCUCCUACAUUGGAAAGCAAAGUCUUAACCACUGGACCACCAGGUCUCGGGCAAAAUAUGUCCUUUGAUUGACAAGGCGUGAAGGAGAUUCAGGUUCGAUCCCUGGGUUGGGAAGAUCCCCUGGAGAAGGUAAUGACAACUCACUCCAGUAUUCUUGCCUGGAAAAAUCCAUAAACAAAGGAACCUGGCUGGCUACAGUCCAUGGAGUCACAAAGAGUCGGACAUGACUGAAUGACUCACACACUGGUGGUCCAGUGGUUAAGAAUCUGCCUGCCAAGGCACUGGACACAGGUUCCAUCCCUGGUCCAGGAAGAUCCCACAUGCUUUGGAGCAACAAAGCCCAUACACCACAACCACUGAGCCUUCGAACUGCAGCUACUGAAGCCCAAGCACCCAGAACCUGUGCUCCACAGAGAAAUCACUGCAAUGAGAAGCCCACAUGCCUUGAUGAAGACCCAGCACAGCCAAAAAU